UUGGGGUAGAGCGCAGCUGAUGCAGCACGCCGCGUGAGUGAUGAAGGCCUUCGGGUUGUAAACCUCUUUCAUCGGGGACGAUUGAGGCCGGUACUGUAGGAAUAGGUCCUGCCUAAUCCCUGGCAGCCAGCCCCGGGAUAAUACGUGCCGGCAUACGCGGUAAUAA
rnacentral:rRNA from 1 species